AGUGAACGCUGGCGGUAGGCCUAACACAUGCAAGUCGAACGGCAGCACAGUAAGAGCUUGCUCUUACGGGUGGCGAGUGGCGGACGGGUGAGGAAUACAUCGGAAUCUACUUUUUCGUGGGGGAUAACGUAGGGAAACUUACGCUAAUACCGCAUACGACCUACGGGGGAAAGCAGGGGAUCUUCGGACCUUGCGCGAUUGAAUGAGCCGAUGUCGGAUUAGCUAGUUGGCGGGGUAAAGGCCCACCAAGGCGACGAUCCGUAGCUGGUCUGAGAGGAUGAUCAGCCACACUGGAACUGAGACACGGUCCAGACUCCUACGGGAGGCAGCAGUGGGGAAUAUUGGACAAUGGGCGCAAGCCUGAUCCAGCCAUACCGCGUGGGAGAAGAAGGCCUUCGGGUUGUAAAGCCCUUUUGUUGGGAAAGAAAAGCAGCAGGUUAAUACCCCGCUGUUCUGACGGUACCCAAAGAAUAAGCACCGGCUAACUUCGUG
rnacentral:rRNA from 1 species